GAAACCUUUUCUACGAUAGAACACUCCUGGACAAAUGAUACCGUCUUAUUUUGAAGUACAUCUACCCAGCCAACCAAACAUCAACCAAAGCAGUCACUUACUGCAACAGAGCAGCACAAAGGUCAUUUCACCCUAUCAGCAUCCUCCAUCUCCACCUGGGGGUAUCCAGGUGGCUCUGGGAGAUGAAACCCCUCCUGGGCUGACUCGGUCAGUCGUGCCUGGAACACAGAACCACCUCCACCGACGCCUCUCAGUGUGAUGGAGCAGCGGCUCGAUCCUCCCAAAUUGCUGAGCUCUUGAGUCUAUCACACUGAGCGAGACCAGCCGCCCUGUGGAGUAACCUCACCUCUGCUGCUUGUUUCUGCCAUCUCAUUUGUUCAUGAAUACCCAACGCCUGUGUUGUUAGAUUAGAGUUGGAACUGAGAUCGGAUUGGUAAAUUGAAAACGUUCCGUGUGGGCUCAUCAGCUGCAAAGCAAAGGGAUAUCUACACUUCUCAAACCAAGUGAAUCUACACUGGACACAAAUUUUAGUCUUUUUUUGUAGUUUCUUUUUUGUUUUGGGGGGGCUGCUCACCACUCACUCAUAAUGAGCUUAUCACAUGGGACAGGACCCAAAUUCUAGAAAGAAUCAUUUGGAAACAACAUACCUGAGCCAUUAGCUUAUGUACUGUAGCUGAGAUGGUCAUAAGAAGCCAUAUUGGUCAUUCUCCCCCUAUUCCCUGAAAUGUGCAACUCUUACUUUUCCAGUUUUUUAUUAAAACGGGUUAUCAGAAACUCUCCAUCAUGAUGCACCCAUAGAGCAUUCUACACGAAUCUACAGUACAUUACAGCUCUGAAGACCUUGUUUGUAAUCUGAGCUAUUAAUGACUGUUUUAGUGAUGAGUCUUGACAUUUCUAUUGAAGGGUGCUGUGAUCACCCCAGGAGGAGAGGAAAGACACCCGGGAUAGGUGCCAUGCUGGCCCAGCUUGGAUUUAAGACACUUCCUGGGUAAUGUCUGGUCUGGACGAAAUGGGACUCAGUCUGGGUAAGCAAUGGGAAUCAGAGACUGUUGUGCCCACAUCUUUACAGAGACCUGCUCCAUCAACAUCCCAGAUCAAGCACUCGACAGGCUGAAGACUCCGGCAAGAUGAAAGGAGGAGGACUCUGCGUUUGGUGCUCAUUUGGUUUCCCAAAUGUCAAGCUUUUAAUGUGGGUCAAUGGACACCCACACAGCCCUAGAGCCCAAUAUACAACACAAGCCCUUCAUCUUUAACAGCAGCAUGGGCCUUUUCUGCUGUCUCAUAGAUAAAGUUGUGUAUCUCUUUGUGGUACCUUAUGAGCAAGAAAGCUCUGCGACAACAGGAACUUUCUUAAAAAUCUUAUUUUAAAUAUAGUCAGCUGCUGCUAUUGCUGUGAUAAAGCUGAAAUGGACACCACAGGCCGGUCUGCUUGACCAAACGCAGUUUUUCUAAAGAGUAUAAACCUGUUCCAGUCUUGACAUUUCUAUUGAACCUGGUCCGGUUUAUCAGCAUUUUUGCUAUUCCAACAAUGCGAACAUUUGGCUCUCUAGCCCUUCUUUACAGUUUGAUUUGAAGCCAUUAUUUUUUAAAUCAGGUAUCAGUUUUUCUUUUUAAUUCUUUGGCAAUUUGGUC